GAGUAAAGCCUAGGAAUCUGCCUGGUAGUGGGGGAUAACGUUCGGAAACGGACGCUAAUACCGCAUACGUCCUACGGGAGAAAGCAGGGGACCUUCGGGCCUUGCGCUAUCAGAUGAGCCUAGGUCGGAUUAGCUAGUUGGUGAGGUAAUGGCUCACCAAGGCGACGAUCCGUAACUGGUCUGAGAGGAUGAUCAGUCACACUGGAACUGAGACACGGUCCAGACUCCUACGGGAGGCAGCAGUGGGGAAUAUUGGACAAUGGGCGAAAGCCUGAUCCAGCCAUGCCGCGUGUGUGAA
rnacentral:rRNA from 1 species